GAGACCCACGCCCACAGUUGCCAGCGUACUCUCUGGAGUGACGGGUACACUGUGGGGACCGCCGCUGCUAAAGCGGAGGAAGGAAUGGGCAACGGUAGGUCAGUAUGCCCCGAAUGUCCCGGGCUACACGCGGGCUACAAUGGUUGGUACAAUGGGUAUCUACCCCGAAAGGGGAUGGAAAUCUCCUAAAGCCAAUCUUAGUUCGGAUCGAGGGCUGCAACUCGCCCUCGUGAAGCUGGAAUCCGUAGUAAUCGCGUUUCAAUAGAACGCGGUGAAUAC
rnacentral:rRNA from 4 species